rnacentral:misc_RNA from 1 species
AUUAGUCUCAUAGACUUUGACACCUGAAAAAUUUCUACAUGAGGCCACAUUAUAUAAAAUAACUAAAAGGAAGAACACUAUAGAAACAGUAUAAGGAUCAAUGCCUGCUAUGAUUUUGGAAAUUGAAGGCAAUAUACUUGAUAACAAAAAUUUAUAUGCAACACUUGGGUUCUUCGGUUAAUGGUGGUUAUACAUGUGUCAAUGAACUAGAAUGACUGCUUCAACUGGCACAUAAGAAAACUUUCAAUUGAAAAAGAAAGGGAUUUUUUUUUCGAAUAACUGCAAACCCAAGAAAUAAUAAAACAUAAAGCCUUUCACUUAUUCAAAUUAUUCAGUGAUCAACAUUACCAAACCACAAAGCACUUACCAUGAAUGGUAGGAGGAAGAGU